rnacentral:rRNA from 1 species
CCUACGGGAGGCAGCAGUGAGGAAUAUUGGUCAAUGGGCGCGAGCCUGAACCAGCCAAGUAGCGUGAAGGAUGACUGCCCUACGGGUUGUAAACUUCUUUUAUAAAGGAAUAAAGUGAGGCACGUGUGCCUUUUUGUAUGUACUUUCUGAAUAAGGAUCGGCUAACUCCGUGCCAGCAGCCGAGGUAAUACGGAGGACACGAGCGUUAUACGGAUGUAUUGGGUUUAAAGGGAGCGUAGAUGGGAUGUCAAGUCAGUUGUGAAAGUGUGCGGCUCAACCGUAAAAUUGCACUUGAUACUGGCAGUCUUGAGUGCAGUUGAGGUAGGCGGAAUUCGUGGUGUAGCGGUGAAAUGCUUAGAUAUCACGAAGAACACCGAUUGCGAAGGCAGCUUACUAGACUGCCACUGACAUUGAUGCUCGAAAGUGUGGGUAUCAAACAGGAUUAGAUACCCGAGUAGUC